AAAGCACGCCAGGUCUCCUGCACUGGACAUUUUUGCGCGGGAAAUGAAAGGCGGUCGGUGGUCCGUUGGCUUGGCGUUGAAUACAUGAAAAAUUUUUCAGAUGGGGUUCUUUCCGUUUCCUGCUGGGAAAACCGUUAGAUGCCAUCGUGGAUUGAUGAAUACCGUUGUACUUGAAUAAACAGGAACUCUUAACAGAAGCUUCUUUGUCAGCAGCAUCAGUUUGGGUGCCCGGUGAAGUAGCUUCAAAGAUUGCCCGUUUUUUUAAAAGUUGGCUCUCUUUUGAAGUGCUUUUCCAGGUGAAGCCCAAUUUUUAAUAUCGCCGUUUGCCUGUUGCAGACAUACCAGCUCCCUAGCUUUUGAUCUCUGCCCUUCUGCGAUGAAAGAAAUUUCUCCUGAUUUUAAUGCAAUAAAAAAGUCUUGUUUGCUGUCACCUAUAGGUAAGCAUAUAAAUGUAUAAAAUGCUCCAGUUCACUAUACUCUCAGGCAUUUUUGCACUGGAAUGAUAUGUUGAGAAUGUAUUUUUGUGCGGGAAAGGGUCAUAUGGUAAGGUACAUAUUUGUAUAUGAUUUAUUUUCCAUAUGUUAACCUUAAGAUAAGCAUUAUAAUGGUAACUUUGCAUUAAGUGGUCCAACUAUUCCUGGUGUGCUUGUAUAUAAACAUUGAUCGUGAUCUCGUAAAAAGGUAGGCAUUCAAGUUCACUAGGCACUUUUCGAUGGUUGCCGCCAAGUGCCAAGCAAAGCUGGCCAGGUCUCCUCACUGGGAAUUUUUACGCAGGAAAGUGAA